rnacentral:rRNA from 1 species
CCCUUAGAUGUCCUGGGCCGCACGCGUGCUACACUGACGCAUACAGCGAGCACUUUCCAGUUCCGAGAGGCUACUGGUAAUCAUCAAUAUGCGUCGUGAUGGGGAUAGAUCUUUGGAAUUCUGGAUCUUGAACGAGGAAUGCCUAGUAAUCGCAGGUCAUUAGCCUGCGAUGAUUAAGUCCCUGCCCUUUGUACACACCGCCCGUCGCUACUACCGAAUUCGAGUGGUCAGGUGAAUCUUUCGGACUGUGGGCGCCCUUGAGGUGUUCGCGGAAAGUCAGGUAAAUCUUAUCACUUAGAGGAAGUAAAAGUCGUAACA